UCUCUCUUCCUCUUCUAUUUUUUAAUUUUUUUUAAAUUUUUUUAAUGUUUUGAGGCAGGAUCUUGCUGUUUCACUCAGGCUGGGGUGUAGUGGUGCAAUCACAGAUCACUGAAGCCUUGACCUCCCAGGUUAAAGUGAUCCUUCUGCCUCAGCCUUCUGAGUAGUUGGGACUACAGGUGCACACUACCAUGCCUGGCUAAUCUUUGUGUUUUUGUAGAGAUGGGGUUUUUGCCAUGUUUCCCAGGCUGAUUUCAAACACCUGAGCUCAAGCAAUGCGCCUGCUUUGGCCUCUCAAAGUGCUGGGCUUACAGGUGUGAGCCGCCAUGCCUGGCCUAUUUUAUCUUCUUAUAAACCAAUCAGUCUCACUCUCAUGAAAAUCCAUUAAUCCAUUAACUGAAUAAUCUAUGAAUGAAUUAACUCAGUCAUGAGGGCAGAUCCUUCACGGUCCAUUCACCUCUUAAAGGCCCUACUUCUCAAUACUGCAAAAUUAGAGAUUAAAUUUCAACAUGAAUUUUGGAGGAAACAAAUAUUCAAACAAUAGCAUUUUGCACCUAGCCACAUAAAACUCAUGUCCUUCUCACAUACAGUUACACCCAUUCCAUCUCCAUAGUCCCAGAGUCUUAACUUGCAUCAGCACCAGUUCAAAAGUCCAAAGUCCAGAGUUUUAUCUGUGAGCCUGCAAAAUCAAUACAAGUUAUCUACUUCCAUGAUGAGAUGGUGGUACAGGAACAAGAUAUUCUUAUUCCAAAAGGGAAAAAUAAGUAAAACAGAAGGAAUAACAGACCUCUAGUAAGUCUAAAACCCAGAGACAUUAAAUCUUAAAAAAGCAAAUAAUCUCUUUUAACUCCAUGUGCUACCUCUUGGGCACAUUGAGAUAACAGUUGGGUCUUUAAGGCCUCAGGCAGCUCUGUCCCCAUGUCUUUGCUGGCUGUAGCCCACAUGGCUACUUGUACAGGUUAGGGUUGGAUACCUGAAGCUUUCUCAGGCAAGCAUUCCAUGCUGCUGGUGACUCCACAGUUCUGGAGUCUCCCUGGUCAUAUAGCUGCCAUGGCUCCACAGGCAUUGUCCUGGUAGGGACUCUACAACAGCCUCAACUCCACAUUUUUUCUGCUCAGCACUGCCCUAGAAGGGGCUAUUUGUGGUGACUCUGCUCUAGGACAAUGGUCCCUAGGCUUUUGAUGACAUCUUUUGAAAUUUGGGUGGAGGCUGUGAAGCCUCCACAGCUCUUGCUUUCUGCAAGCCUUUAGAAUUGGCACCAUGUGGAUGUUGCUAAUACAACUUGUACCUUAUGGAGUUGCAAGAACCACAGCUGGGGCCACUGGAGCCAGGGCUGGAGUGGACAUGGAGUGGUGCACUAGGGUGCAAUAAGUGGGGUGCACUAAGCAGAGUCCAAGGUGGCCCUGGGUAAUGAACCCCUAGAGAGCAUCCAGGGCCUUCCCCAUAAAACCAUUUGGCCUCCAAGAUCUCUGGGAUUGUGCUGGGAAGGGCAGCCUUGAAAAUCUCUAAAAUGCUUUUGGGACUCUUUCUACCACUGUCAAGGAAUAGCAGCUGACUCCCUUCUAUCUAUGCUAAUCUCUUUAGCAAAUUGUCUUUGGGCUACACCCAGGACAAAGUAUGUUUUACUGAACACACGUUUUCACUCUUUCUAUGGUGGAGCUGAGAAUUUUCCAAAUCUUUCUGCCCUGCUUCUCUUUUAAUUUUAAUUUCUGUCUUUAAAUUAUUCCUUUUCUCCAGAAUCUCAGCAUAAGUUGCCAAAAGUAACCCUGCAAAUUCUUCCAUAUUUUGCAUAGAAAUUUCUUCUGCCAGAUAUCCUAGUUCAUCACUCUCAAGUUUAAUCUUUCACAAAGCCCUCAGGCAUGGACAUAAUUCAGCCAAAUUCUUUGCCAAUUUAUGACAAGAACGGCUUUUUCUUUUUUCAGUUCCCAAUACCUUGUUCAUCAGUUCCAACUGAAAUUGCAGCAGAAUAGCCUUUAAUCUGCAUAUGCUUAUCAGCAUCCUGGUCACAACAACUUAAUCAAUCUCUAAUGAGUUCCACACCUUCCCUAGUCAUCUUGUCUUCUAAGCCCUCACAAGAAUCUAGGCUUUUUAUAGUCUGCCCCCCUAACUUCUUCCAGCCUCUCCCCAUUACCCAGUUCCAAAGCCACUUCUGCAUUUUCUGGUAUUUAUUAUCAGCAAUAUGCCAUUUUUUGGUACCAAUUUUCUGUCUUAAUCCAUUUUCUGUUACUUAUAAAAAAAAUACCUGAAAGUAGCUAUCUUACAAAGAGAAAAAGUAUAUUUCUUUCAUUUAUGGAGGCUGAGAAUACCAAGAUCAAAGAAUGACAGGUUAGAUCUCACUAAGGCAGGCCUCCAUAACUACUGUUUCAGUACUGACUGAGUGGUUAAGUUAAAUAUUAAAAGCUAAAAAAAGCCAGUGCCUUUAUUCAAAGACUGGAAGGUAACAAAAGGCCACCAAGAGUUUCUCCCUAGGCCUUUCCUGGGCCUUAAAGCAUGAUAAAAUAAUGGAGGGAUUCUUAAUAAGACCCAUUUAAGAUUAAACAAGUUUUAUUCGGAGGUCUGAAGAAACUCCCCAGGCCUCCACAAACAAGUUUAUUGGGGGUCUGAAGGAACUCUCCAAACCUCCCUGAUUUAGCAGAAGAUAAGAUAAGGGUAAUCACCCGAGCACCUGGACCAAUUUAGAUUAAGUAAAUUUACUGAGGCUCCAGAAGAAGGUCUUUAGGACUCAGACCUUAAUUAUAGAUUAAAAGAAGUUAAUCACUUAUGUCUUUAGAUGAAUGCACACUUACAUGUAAACAUAUAGCUUAGAAGGUAUAUAAACUCUGGAAAACUGUAAUUUUGAGUUGGUCUGGCAGUAAUUUCCAGGCCUUCUCCCUGUAACCAGUUGCAGAAAUAAAAACUCUCUUCCUACCCAGUUCAUUUGCAUCUUGUUAUUGGGCACGAGAAAUAGCAGCCCAAUCCUCAGUUUGGUCAGGAACAAAAGGGCUUCAUCUUUUGAGGGCCUUUGUGCUGGCAGGACUCUCCAUGGAGUCCUGAGGCAGUUCAGAAUGCAAAUGCAAUAGAUUCAUUGCCAGAUGUGCACAGCAAGUCAAUAUGCCAAGACACCAAUUUGCAGCAGGGAAAAAGUAUUAAUCAUGGGGCUGCUGAAUGAGCAGAUGAGAGAAACUUCAAAUUUUGGAGGGGGCCAAAGUGUAGAGAUUAUCAGUUGGUCAAUGAGUGCAGGGUGAAGUUAUGGGCUAUGCAUGCUAGCUUGGGUCUUUCUUCCUUUUCUUUAAAACCACUAGUUCUACUUCAGUGAUAACCCAUUAAUCAUUAACUCAGUAAUCCAUUAAUCUGUAAAUGGGUCCCAGUCACCUCUUAAAGGCCCCACUUCUCACUACUGCCACAUUGGAAAUUAAAUUUCAAAACAUGAGUUUUGAAGGGGACAGAUACUCAAAGGAUAGCAUCAUUAUUUGAUAUAUGGUUUGCAACUAUUUUUUUCCCAUUAUAUAGGUCACCUUUAUAUUUUGUUGAUUAUUUUGUUUGCUGUAAAGAGACUUAAUUUUGAUGUAGUCCCACUCGUUUUGUUUGUUUGCUUGCCUUUUAUGCAUGCGCUUUCAAUAUCAUAUCCAAAAAUCAUUGCCAAGACCAAGACCCUUGUAAAGGAGAUUCUCCAUGAUUUAUUCUAGGAGUUUUGUAAUUUUAGAUCUUACAUUUAAAUUAUUAAUGCAUUUUAAGUCGAAUAUUGUAUAAGGUGAAAGCUAAAAAUCCAACCUCAUUUUGUCACCAGUCAAUAUACAGUUUUCCCAAUUUGAUAUACAGUUUUCCCAACACCAUUUAUUCUGUGUAUUCUUGGCACCUUUGUCAAAGAUUUGAUCAUGUAUAUGUGGGUUUACUUCUGGGCUUUUUACUCUGUUCCAUUGGGAUGUGUUUUUUUAUGCUAAUACCAAAUUAUUUUGACUAGGGCUUUGUAAUAUUAAUUUAGAAUCAGGAAAUAUGAUGGAUCCAUCUUUGAUUUUCCUACUCAAGCUUACUUUAGCUAUUCAGGGUGUUUUGUGGUUCCAUAUGGAUUUUAUAAUUGAUUUUUCUAUUACUGUAAAAAUGUCAUUGGAAUAUUUUCUUUUUUUUUGUGAUGGAGUCUCGCUCUGUUGCCCAGGCUGGAGUGCAGUGGCAUGAUCUCGGCUCACUGCAAACUCCGCCUCCUGGGUUCAUGCCAUUCUCCUGCCUUAGCCUCCCGAGUAGCUGGGACUACAGGCUCCCACCACCAUGCCCGGCUAAUUUUUUUUAUUUUUGGUAGAGACAGGUUUCAUGCGCGUUUGUGUGAAGAGACCACCAAACAGGGUUUGUGUGAGCAACAUGGCUGUUUAUUUCACCUGGGUGCAGGCGGGCUGAGUCUGAAAAGAGAGUCAGCGAAGGGAGAUAGGGGUGGGGCCGUUUUUUAGGAUUUGGGAAGGUAAUGGAAAAUUACAGUCAAAGGGGGUUGUUCUCUGGUGGGCAGGGUUGGGGGUCACAAGGUGCUCAGUGGGGGAGCUUCUGAGCCAGGAGAAGGAAAUUCACAGGGUUAAUCACUCAGUUAAGGUGGGGCAGGAACAAAUCACAAUGGUGGAAUGUCAUCAGUUAAGGCGGGGCAGGGCCUUUUCACUUCUUUUGUGAUUCUUCAGUUACUUCAGGCCAUCUGGGCAUAUAUGUGCAAGUCACAGGAGAUGCGAUGGCUUGGCUUGGGCUCAGAGGCCUGACAAUCCUGCCUUCUUAUAUUAAUAAGAAAAAUAAAACAGUGUUGAAGUCUUGGGGUGGUGAAAAUUUUGGGGGGGUGAUAUGGAGAGAGAAUGGACGAUGUUUCUCAGGGCUGCUUCAAGCGGGAUUAGGGGCGGCGUGGGAACCUAGAGUGGGAGAGAUUAAGCUGAAGGAAGAUUUUGUGGUAAGGGGUGAUAUUGUGGGGUUGUUAGAAGAAACAUUUGUCAUUUAGAAUGAUUGGUGAUGGCCUGGAUACGGUUUUGUAUGAAUUGAAAAACUAAAUGGAAUAAGAGAAGGAGAAAAACAGGUAUAAAAGGUCUAAGAAUUGGGAGGACCUAGGACAUCUGAUUAGAGAGUGCCUAAGGAGAUUCAGCAUAGUCCUGCCAGCCAAGAUUAUUUAUUUACUUCAAGAGUUAAGAGUGGCGGUUUGGGGAUAGCACGAGGAGAUAUCAGCUGUGAUGGCUUGGAGAAACAGUGUAAACCGGCAGUGUAAACAAGAGCAGGGCAUGUAUGAGUAGUUGAGAACGGAGAAUAGGAGUAUGACUAGACAGAAGAUAGUAGGGAUGACAAGUUUUUUUUGGGGCACACUCUAAGUUGGUCCGGUGUUUGGAAUGAGACUGGGGCCUAAUAAAAAGGAGCAUCUAUACAGGAGCCCAAAUGGGCUGUACCUUGUAGCAUUCUGAGGACGGGUCUGACUUCUGAGAAGGGAAAGUGGUAAAAGUAUUGUCCAGUUCUUUUUAAGUUGGUGGCUGAGCUUGGUGAGGUGUGUUUUUGAAAGACCUUUAGUCCGUUCUACUUUUCUUGAAGACAGACGACUAUAAGGGAUAUAAAGGUUUCACUGAAUACUAAGAGCCUGAAAAACUGCUUGGCUGAUUUGACUAAUAAAGGUUGGUCUGUUAUCAGACUGUAUAGAGGUGGGAAGGCUAAACUGAGGGAUUAUGUCUGACAGAAGGGAAGAAAUGACUGCAGUGGCCUUCUCAGACCCUGUAGGAAAGGCCUCUACCUAUCUAGUGAAAGUGUCUACUUAGACUAAGAGGUAUUUUAGUUUUUGUGACUCAGGGCAUGUUGAGUAAAGCUAAUUUGCCAGUUCCGGGGGCGGGGGCAGGGGGCAAAUCCUCAAGUUUGAUGUGUAGGGAAGGGAGGGGUCCUGAAUAAUCCUUGAGGAGUAGUAGAAUAGCAGAUAGAAUAGCAGAUGGAACACUGAGAAAUUAUUUCCUUGAGGAUAGAUUUCUACAAUGGAAAGGAAAUGAGAGGUUCUAAGAGGCGGGCUAGUGGCUUGUACUAUAGCAUAGCCUGCCUUUGCUGGUGUGUGGCGAUUAGGCCUGGUGGAACUGCCAUCAAUAAAUCAAGCGUGAUCAGGGUGAGGAACAGGAAAGAAGGAAAUAUGGGGAAAUGUGGUGAAUGUCAGGUGGAUCAGAGACAUACAGUCAUGGGGGUCAGGUGUGGUAUCAGGAAUAAUGUGGGAGGCCAGAUUGAAGUCUGGGCCAGGAACAAUGGUAAUUGUGGGACUUAACAAAGAGUGAGUACAGCUGAAGGAGCCGGGGAGCAGAAAGUAUAUGCAUCAGGUAUGAGGAAGAAAAUAGAUUUUGGAAGUUAUGAGAAAUGUAGAGAGUAAGUUGAGCAUAGUUUAUGAUUUUUAGGGCCUCUAAAAGUAUUAGGGUGGCAGCAGCCGCUGCACGGAGACAUGAGGGCUAGGCUAAAACAGUAAGGUCAAGUUGUUUGGACAGAAAGGCUACAGGGUGCGGUCCUGGCUCUUGUGUAAGAAUUCUGACCACACUAACCAUGCCUAGGAAGGAAAGGAGUUGUUGUUUUGUAAGGGAUUGAGGUUGGGGAGAUUAAUUGGACACGAUCAGCAGGGAGAGCACCUGUGUUUUUAUGAGAAUUAUGCUGAGAUAGGUAACAGAUGAGGGUGAAAUUUGGGCUUGACUGAAGUAAUGGGGGCUGUCUGUGAAGCCUUGCGGCAGUACAGCCCAGGUAAUUUGCUGAGCCUAAUGGGUGUUAGGGUCAGUCCAGCUGAAAGCGAAGAGAGGCUGGGAUGAUGGGUGCAAAGGAAUAGUAAAGAAAACAUGUUUGAGAUCCAGAACAGAAUAAUGGAUUGUGGAGGGAGGUAUUGAGGAUAGGAGAGUAUAUGGGUUUGGCACCAUAGGGUGGAUAGGCAAAACAAUUUGGUUGAUAAGGCAUAGAUCCCGAACUAACUUGGAAGGCUUGUCUGGUUUUAGGACAGGUAUAAUGGGGGAAUUGUAAGGAGAGUUUAUAGGCUUUAAAAGGCCAUGCUGUAGCACGCAAGUGAUAACAGGCUUUAAUCCUUUCAAAGCAUGGUGUGGGAUGAGAUAUUGGCAUUGAGCGGGGUAAGGGUGAUUAGGUUUUAAUGAGAUAGUAAGGGGUGCAUGAUCAGUUACCAAGGAGGGAGUAGAGGUAUCUUAUUCCUGUGGGUUAAGGUGGGGGAAUACAAGAGGAGGACGCAAAGGAGGCUUUGGAUUGGGAAGAAGGGCAGCAAUGAGAUGUAGCUGUAAUCCAGGACUAGUCAGGGAAGCAGAUAAUUUAGUUAAAGUGUCUCGGCCUAAUAAGGGAACUGAGCAGGUGGGGAUAACUAAAAGAGUGCUUAGAAGAGUAUUGUCUCAGUUGGCACCAGAGUUGGGGAGUUUUAAGAGGUUUAGAAGCCUGGCCGUCAAUACCUACAACAGUUACGGAGGCAAGGGAAACAGGCCCUUGAAAAGAAGGUAAUGUGGAGUGGGUAGGCUCCAUAUUGAUUAAGGGGACGGACUUACCUUCCACUGUGAGAGUUACUCGAAGCUCAGCGUCUGUGAUGAUCUAUGGGGCUUUCGAGGUGAUCGGGCAGCGUCAGUCUUCAGCUGCUAAGCCGAGAAGGAGUCAGAGAGCCUUGGGCCAGAAUUCCAGGGGCUCUGGGAGUGCCUGCCAGGCUGGAGGGCAAUGGCGUGGUUUUGCUCACUGCAACCUCCGCCUUCCAGGUUCAAGGAUUCUUCUGCAUCAGCCUUGCAAUUAGCUAGGAAUACAGGUAAGUGCCACGAUGCCCAGCUAAUUUUUGUAUUUUCAGUAGAGACAGAGUUUCACCAUGUUGGUCAGCCUGGUCUUGAACUCUGGACCUCAAAUGAUCUACCUACUUCGGCUUCCCAAAGUGUUGGGAUUACAGGUGUUAACCAAUGCAUCCAGCCUUGAGGUGUAUUUAUUCUAUAUCUAAUUUGAUGAGCGUUUUCAUCAGGAAAUAAUAUCUAAUUUUGUGAAAUGCUUUUGUGCAGUUUUGAGAUGAUUAUCUUUUUAUUUUUCAGUUUGUUAAUAUUGUGUACCACAUUUAUUGAUUUGCAUAUGUUAAUCCAUCCUUGCAUCCCAGGAAUAAAUUUUGCUUAGUCAUGGUGAAUGAUCUUUUUAAUGUACUAUUAAAUUCAGUUAGCUAGUAUUUUUUUGAGAAUUUUUGUAUCUAUGUUCAUCAGGCAUAUUGGCUUGUAAUUUUCUUUUCUGGUAGUCUUCUGGUCUGGCUUUUGUAUUAGGGCAAUUCUGGCAUUUUAAAAUAAGUUUAGAGGUAUUUCAUUCUUCUCAAGUUUUUGGAAGAGUUUGAGAAUGAUAGGUGGUAUUUUGGUUUUUCCUUUAAAUAAUUGAUAGAAUUUACCAGUGAAAGUAUCUGGUCCUUGGGAC
rnacentral:lncRNA from 10 species